GCAGAGAUGUGGAAGUGCUCGAAAGAGAACCGGAACACAGGUGCUGCAUGGCUGUCGUCAGCUCGUGUCGUGAGAUGUUGGGUUAAGUCCCGCAACGAGCGCAACCCUUGUCAUUAGUUGCUACGAAAGGGCACUCUAAUGAGACUGCCGGUGACAAACCGGAGGAAGGUGGGGAUGACGUCAAGUCCUCAUGGCCCUUAUGGGUAGGGCUUCACACGUCAUACAAUGGUCGGUACAGAGGGCUGCCAACCCGCAAGGGGGAGCCAAUCCCUUAAGACCGAUCGUAGUCCGGAUUGAGGUCUGCAACUCGACCUCAUGAAGUCGGAAUCGCUAGUAAUCGCGGAUCAGCAUGUCGCGGUGAAUACGUUCCCGGGUCUU
rnacentral:rRNA from 1 species